rnacentral:tRNA from 2 species
GGGGAUUUUACCUUGAAAUUAUAGACUUGCAUGGCAUGCAAGAGGUCACGAGUUCGAGCCUCGUAUUCUCCA